GAUGAACGCUGGCGGCGUGCUUAACACAUGCAAGUCGAACGAGAAGUGGAGACGGAAACCUUCGGGCGGAAGACUUUAUUUCGAGUGGCGGACGGGUGAGUAACGCGUGGGUAACCUGCCUCAUACAGGGGGAUAACAGUUGGAAACGACUGUUAAUACCGCAUAAGACCACAGCACCGCAUGGUGCGGGGGUAAAAACUCCGGUGGUAUGAGAUGGACCCGCGUUCGAUUAGCCAGUUGGCGGGGUAACGGCCCACCAAAGCGACGAUCGAUAGCCGAUCUGAGAGGAUGACCGGCCACAUUGGGACUGAGACACGGCCCAAACUCCUACGGGAGGCAGCAGUGGGGAAUAUUGCACAAUGGGGGAAACCCUGAUGCAGCGACGCCGCGUGAGUGAAGAAGUAUUUCGGUAUGUAAAGCUCUAUCAGCAGGGAAGAAAAUGACGGUACCUGAAUAAGAAGCCCCGGCUAACUACGUG
rnacentral:rRNA from 1 species